UACGUAGGGGGCUAGCGUUGUCCGGAAUCAUUGGGCGUAAAGCGCGCGUAGGCGGCCAGAUAAGUCCGGUGUGAAAGUCACAGGCUCAACCUGUGAAUGCCGCUGGAAACUGUCUGGCUAGAGUCCGGAAGGGGCGAGUGGAAUUCCUGGUGUAGCGGUGAAAUGCGCAGAUAUCAGGAGGAACACCAGCGGCGAAGGCGGCGCUCUGGGCCGGUACUGACGCUGAGGAGCGAAAGCGUGGGGAGCAAACAGG
rnacentral:rRNA from 1 species